AAACAAACUACCUCUUUAAAUUUUUUCUCUCUCAAAUAUCUCGUCUUUCAGAAUUCUCCCUAUAUGUGAACUGCUAAAAAUAUGCAGCUAUGAAAAAGGUGAGUGGUGAUCAAGAUGGAGAAGCAGGGCACGUGCAUUACUAACUCAUGCACAGGAAUUGUCAGUGAAAAUUUUUAUGGCAUUCAUCUGACAUCAUAAUUCAUAGUACCAUUACUGUACUUCCUAGCGUAGUGGAAAAUAAUGGUUUGGUACUUCACAUGUAUGUGUUUCCGUUUCCGUUGAGUUAGUUCUUCAUGUGCCUGUCUUCCCCAUCAUGAUCACUCAACCUUAUUAUCAGUAUACGUCCCUUUUUCAAGUUCUGAUUUCGCCUCAUCUAAUAAUAAAAGUGCUCCGUAAGAGAACUCUAUUUCGAAAUCAAUUCGCAUUUUAUAGUUGUUUUACUUGAAUAUAUUCGUUAAUAUGCCUUCUGCUUGUAGACGGAUAGAUUUGGGUUCAUUUCUUGCCGCUCAUCUUCCGCGCGCACCAUGGCCCAAAAACCGCUUUCCAUUGAAAGGUAAGUUAAUUUAUUGAUAGACAUUUCCGAUUUGAACAAAAAGGUUAUUAUUAAAGUUAUGUUGACAUUUG
rnacentral:lncRNA from 1 species